rnacentral:rRNA from 1 species
AAGCUCGUAGUUGAAUUUCGGGGUUAGUAGGUUGGUCAUGCCUCUGGUAUGUACUGGUCUCACUGAUUCCUCCUUCCUGAGGAACCGUAAUGCCAUUAAUUUGGUGUUGCGGGGAAUUUGGACUGUUACUUUGAAAAAAUUAGAGUGUUUAAAGCAAGCUAACGCUUGAAUACAUUAGCAUGGAAUAAUGAAACAGGACGUCCGAUCCUAUUUUGUUGGUUUCUAGGAUUGACGUAAUGAUUAAUAGGGAUAGUUGGGGGCAUUAGUAUUCAAUUGUCAGAGGUGAAGUUCUUGGAUUUAUUGAAGACUAACUACUGCGAAAGCAUUUGCCAAGGAUGUUUUCAUUAAUCAAGAACGAAAGUUAGGGGAUCGAAGACGAUCAGAUACCGUCGUAGUCUUAACCAUAAACUAUGCCGACUAGGGAUCGGAUGAUGUUAAUUUUUUAAUGACUCAUUCGGCGCCUUACGGGAAACCAAAGUGUUUGGGUUCCGGGGGGAGUAUGGUCGCAAGGCUGAAACUUAAAGGAAUUGACGGAAGGGCACCACCAGGGGUGGAGCCUGCGGCUUAAUUUGACUCAACACGGGGAAACUCACCAGGUCCAGACAUAGUAAGGAUUGACAGAUUGAGAGCUCUUUCUUGAUUCUAUGGGUG